rnacentral:RNase_P_RNA from 11 species
GACAGAAAGAAAGGAAGGAAGAGGAGAAGGAGGAAAAGGUUAAAUGAAACCGAGCGAGUGACGUUUGUAAUCGACCCCUCGGAAAAUUUCUUUCUUUUCUUACUUACUGUCUUUCUUUCUUUCUUUCUUUCUUUCCUUCCCUCUCUCUCUCUUUCUCUUUUUCUGCCUAAAGGGAGCAGAAAAAAGAGAAAGGAAAAAAUGAGGACAGAAUU